rnacentral:rRNA from 1 species
GGGUUUGAUCCUGGCUCAGGAUGAACGCUGGCGGCGUGCUUGAUACAUGCAAGUCGAACGAACCAGUUCGAGGUGAAGGGUUUAGACGGUGUGGAAGAUGAGAAAUCGUACGAAGCGUCGGAAGGACUGGAAGCCUUAAUGCUGGCGAGUGGCGAACGGGUGAGUAACACGUGGGUAAUCUGCCUCAAAGUGGGGAACAACUGUUCGAAAGAGCAGCUAAUUCCGCAUGUGGUCCAGCAAUGGAUGAAAGGGUCUUCGGACUCGCUUUGAGAUGAGCCCGCGGCCGAUUAGCUAGUUGGUGAGGUAAAGGCCCACCAAGGCGACCAUCGGUAGCUGGUCUGAGAGGAUGAUCAGCCACACUGGGACUGAGACACGGCCCAGACUCCUACGGGAGGCAGCAGUAAGGAAUAUUGCACAAUGGGGGAAACCCUGAUGCAGCAACGCCGCGUGAACGAAGAAGGCCUUCGGGUUGUAAAGUUCUUUUUCUGGGGGAAGAGUAAGGACGGUACCCCAGGAAUAAGUCUCGGCUAACUACGUGCCAGCAGCCCGGUAAGACGUAGGAGGCAAGCGUUAUCCGGAUUCAUUGGGCGUAAAGGGCAAGUAGGCGGUUGUCAAAGUUAGGUGUGACAUCUCCCGGCUCAACUGGGAGGGAGCGCUUAAAACUAGGCGACUAGAGGACAGGAGAGGAAGGCGGAACUCCUAGUGUAGCGGUGGAAUGCUCAGAUACUAGGAAGAACACCAGUGGCGAAGGCGGCCUUCUGGACUGUACCUGACGCUGAGAGGCGAAAGCUAGGGGAGCAAACGGGCUUAGAUACCCCGGUAGUCCUAGCUGUAAACGGUGGAUACUGGGUAAUGGGGGUAAUCACUCCCCCAGUGCCGAAGCAAACGCGUUAAGUAUCCCGCCUGGGGACUACGAUCGCAAGGUUAAAACUCAAAGGAAUUGACGGGGACCCGCACAAGCAGCGGAGCGUGUGGUUUAAUUCGAUAUUACACGAAGAACCUUACCUGGGUUUGACAUGUAUGUAGUAUGAACCGAAAGGGGAAUGAGCCUUCGGGCAGCAUACACAGGUGCUGCAUGGCUGUCGUCAGCUCGUGCCGUGAGGUGUCGGGUUAAGUCCCGUAACGAGCGCAACCCUCGUUGCUAGUUACAAGUGUCUAGCGAGACUGCCGGCAUAUAACCGGAGGAAGGCGGGGAUGACGUCAAGUCAGCAUGGCCUUUAUAUCCAGGGCUACACACACGCUACAAUGGCUGGUACAAGGGGUAGCGAAGCCGCGAGGCGGAGCCAAUCUCACAAAGCCAGUCUCAGUUCAGAUUGUAGGCUGCAACUCGCCUGCAUGAAGUUGGAGUUGCUAGUAACCGCAGGUCAGCAAUACUGCGGUGAAUACGUUCCCGGGUCUUGUACACACCGCCCGUCACGUCAUGGAAGCUGGCAAUACCUGAAAUCGGUGAGCUAACCGCAAGGAGGCAACUGCUUAAGGUAGGGCUAGUAACUGGGACGAAGUCGAAACAAGGUA